CUGGAAAAGGCGAUGAUGUUUCCAAGCACAUAUCCGAUGCCUAUGUGUGGAUGAUGAUAUCACUGAGUCUUUUCCGA
ensembl:snoRNA Snord121b small nucleolar RNA, C/D box 121B